GAUGAGCGCUGGCGGCGUGCCUAAUACAUGCAAGUCGAGCGAACAGACGAGGAGCUUGCUCCUCUGACGUUAGCGGCGGACGGGUGAGUAACACGUGGAUAACCUACUUAUAAGACUGGGAUAACUUCGGGAAACCGGAGCUAAUACCGGAUAAUAUAUUGAACCGCAUGGUUCAAUAGUGAAAGACGGUUUUGCUGUCACUUAUAGAUGGAUCCGCGCCGCAUUAGCUAGUUGGUAAGGUAACGGCUUACCAAGGCGACGAUGCGUAGCCGACCUGAGAGGGUGAUCGGCCACACUGGAACUGAGACACGGUCCAGACUCCUACGGGAGGCAGCAGUAGGGAAUCUUCCGCAAUGGGCGAAAGCCUGACGGAGCAACGCCGCGUGAGUGAUGAAGGUCUUCGGAUCGUAAAACUCUGUUAUUAGGGAAGAACAAAUGUGUAAGUAACUAUGCACGUCUUGACGGUACCUAAUCAGAAAGCCACGGCUAACUACGUG
rnacentral:rRNA from 1 species